AUGGCUCAGGAUGAACGCUGGCGGCGUGCCUAACACAUGCAAGUCGAACGAAGCACUUAGACAGAACCUUCGGGUGACGUAUUGGUGACUGAGUGGCGGACGGGUGAGUAACGCGUGGGUAACCUGCCCUGUACAGGGGGAUAACAGUUAGAAAUGACUGCUAAUACCGCAUAAGCGCACGAUGGUAGCAUUACCAGGUGUGAAAAAACUCCGGUGGUACAGGAUGGGCCCGCGUCUGAUUAGCUAGUUGGCGGGGUAAGAGCCCACCAAGGCGACGAUCAGUAGCCGGUCUGAGAGGAUGAACGGCCACAUUGGAACUGAGACACGGUCCAAACUCCUACGGGAGGCAGCAGUGGGGAAUAUUGCACAAUGGGGGGAACCCUGAUGCAGCCAACGCCGCGUGGGUGAAGAAGUAUUUCGGUAUGUAAAGCUCUAUCAGCAGGGAAGAUAAUGACGGUACCUGACUAAGAAGCUCCGGCUAAAUACGUGCCAGCAGCCGC
rnacentral:rRNA from 1 species